CAUCCAUAGAGCAGGCACUGUCAAGGCUUGCAUAUGAAUCUAGAUUGUGCUAUCCUUUGAACUGCUUUGUCUUUCAAUAUACUUAUUUCAACUGGAUUUGUGCAUAAUUACCUCCAAUUACUUGUAAUUUGUACAAUAGCAUGGACCAUGUCUCAUUUGAUACGAGAAGAAUAUGAAAAAGGUUGUUUUAUUUCUAACGGUCAUUGAUAUUUUUUCUAUUUUGAGAAUGAUUAUGACCUCCAUGGUGUUCGGAUCAUCCCUCCCCUAGCCAUGUCAGCAUCCUCAUUCACGAUCAUGGCCACAUCCACACCAUAGAAUGUAGUAACAUUCGUAAUGACAUAGAAUCGAUUAAAUAGGAAUGAUGAUUUUUCAAUAAAAGUUUAUUAUUUUUCUUCAAUCAUAUGAAGACAUUA
rnacentral:lncRNA from 1 species